UUCUUUUUCACAUUAAUACAAAACAAAAGAACAAAAUACCAACCGGUAACUGAUAAAGGGGAAUAUCCACUUGCCCAAGAAAAUCAUCUCGAGUCAAACGGUUUUCAUCAAACACUUCAAAAAGGAGUCUGUGUUUCUGAGGAUUAACUCGAAAUAAAAGUUCUUCAUUCCACUUUGGGUUCAAGGACUUUCUAAUAGUUUUUGUCUGAACACUGCUAAGGACUCCAUUCACUGGAUCAUACACUGUCACUUUCACAUAUGGGUCACUGGCUCCUAGGAUAUCCUUCUUGGCCAGACCAAUUCCAGCUAUAACCUUCACCCUGACAAUUCGUGUGUUCUCCUCCUCGCCGGGCAGCCCGAACACCUCCACAG
rnacentral:lncRNA from 1 species